AGCAGGGUGGCCUAGAGGAAAGAGCAUGGGCCUGGGAAUCCAAGGUCCUGGGUUCUAAUCCCAACACUGCCA
rnacentral:tRNA from 1 species